rnacentral:rRNA from 1 species
AUGCAAGUGGUUAUAUUAACCCGACAGUUUAAAUAAGUGUUAAAUGCUACCAUUAAACUUAUCAUAUAUCACGCAUAGACCGAUUUUGUUUACAGUAGUAACAAUUUCAGCGUGAAUCACCCAUCACAGUGAAUCACUGAAAUUUACCCAAUAUCAGUAUCACUUACGCAACUGCAGACAGCUGCUUAAUACAGUCACACUUGUCUUGACUUGGCGCAAUAAAAAUUUUCAUUGAAACACCCGUUCUGCGGGCAGAUCGGUGAUCAUUUUUGUUUUGUUGCAUUCACGCAUACAAAAUUUUUUGAUUUCUCUGUAUCGCUUAUUCUUAAGGACAACGCGUUACACCGUGACAAAUUUCUUUAUGGAUAACUCAGGGAAAGUUUGGCUAAUACGUACGAGUAUAUUUUUUUCUACACACACACACACACACACACACACACUCAAAUUAUUUUUGUAUUGCUGUGUAUCAACUACUACUCAGCACUCANUGGUAAACUUUGGCUGCGCUUGCGCGGUCAGUUUAAAGUUUAACUGCAACAUGAGAGACAUUGAGCACGCACGUGUUGUGUCUUCGGACGCUUCACAUCACGCUGAGCAGACUUUGCGAAGUUUACUUUGCGAAGCAUGUCAUACAAGCAUCUACAGCAUCAAGUCACAGGGUUGNCAAGUGUAUUUUUGAACCUUCAAAGCAGUCACGCAUACGGAAGAGUAGUUUCUGAUCCCAUAGAAGGAGCACCGUACAAUGAGAGACCGCUCUUAGUUCUAAGGAACGCAGCAGGCGCGUAAAUUGCCCAAUGCUAGUACCCUACAAUCAAAUUGUAUUUACAUGCGUUAACAAUUUACAACAUACAAGUUUUAAUGACAGACAUUAUCAACACUUUCAUUUUUUCUGUUAUACAUCAUACACAUAUAUCCUUGUUCGUUGUACAUCAGCAUAUAUAGUAUUAAUUUAUUAUUUUACUGAGGCAGUGACAAGCUGUAACGGUUGAGUAUAAAAAUGACGAGUGUCUGGCAUUGCCGCUCUUUCGGGAGCUUGGCAAGUUGCCGACGCUUUGUGUGCUCAAUUGGAAUGCGGUGAGUUUAAGCAACUCAGAACCUUUGGACGGUGUUAGUAAAAUUUCACUGUUUAUGUAUCUGAAUUUCAAGUGGAGGGCAAGUCUGGUGC